rnacentral:rRNA from 1 species
UACGGAGGGUGCAAGCGUUAUCCGGAUUCACUGGGUUUAAAGGGUGCGUAGGUGGGCAAGUAAGUCAGUGGUGAAAUCUCCGGGCUUAACCCGGAAACUGCCAUUGAUACUAUUUGUCUUGAAUACUGUGGAGGUCAGCGGAAUAUGUCAUGUAGCGGUGAAAUGCUUAGAUAUGACAUAGAACACCAAUUGCGAAGGCAGCUGGCUACGCAAAUAUUGACACUGAGGCACGAAAGCGCGGGGAUCAAACAGG